AAGUUUUCAGAAAAAUGCAAAGAUAUGUACAACUUUUUUUCAGGCAAUUAAAAAAACAACUGCUGGAUUGUGCCAGCUGCCAACUUGACUCCCAACGUCUGACGGGAGAAAGUCGGCUAUCCAUCAUCCUGACAUUUAUUUCAAAACCAAAGAGGCAGUGGCUUCACUAUUGGACCAGAAGGAUAUUAAGGAGUGAAACAAAG